GGCGCUAUCGUCUAGUGGUUAGGACGGCGGGUUUUCAGCUCGCGAACCGGAGUUCGAUCCUCCGUAGCGCCA
rnacentral:tRNA from 1 species